GAGGGGCCGCCCUGGCUGCCCGGGCCGUGCUCGCCCGCGGUGGCGGUCGCCAAAGUUGAGCAGUGCCGUGAGGAGGCGGUGAACCGGGCCUGGCAUGGCGAUGUAGCUGAAAUCUCUCUCUGGUCUCCUUUCCGGAGCCGGUCUGUCACAAGCAGUCCUAAGCAGAACACAAGUGCCGAGAGUGGAGCUGUAGCAGAUGCCAUGAGAAUGGGCUAAAAACGGGCUAAGAAGACCGUAAAAGCAGUGAGGUUCAGUAUUAAUAACUGCUUCAGAUUUCAGACAUCCAUUUCAAGUUGCCCUUACCUGCAAGAAAACUGUUGAACAGCUGCCUUGCAUUGCUGAUUUGUAAUAUUUACAGCUAUACUGGUGAGAUCUGAUUUAUCAUGCUACGUUUUGUCAUAAAGAUCUCCAGAUGUCUUGGUAUUUUGACUGAAGAAAAACCCUAACUUUCUGUCUGCAGUCAUUGGAUUUAAUCCUGUGAUCCGUGUGACUCAAGAAUGCUUCUCACCCUGCCUUUCACCCCGCUGGGGAGUUCAGCACUACCACCUAGGAUGUGCCAAUGAGGAUACUCUUGGCUGUCCUGCCAGAAACAACAUUAGUUCCUGCUAAAAUAACUUUAUAUUCCAGGUGGCCCACCCAUCAGAGGAAAUAAUUUUGUUUAACGAAGGUGGAGAGGCUUUGCUCUUGUGUAAUAUCAGAUACAGAGAAAGAAAUGUGUGUUGAAUGUUAUCUACAUAUGAAAAAAAGGAGGGAGGUAAAAUAGAAGAAGGGGGUGUAGAGAAAAGAUUAACUGACAAUCAUAAUCUGAGAGAGAGAUUGCUUUGCCAAAUGUAUGUCUGAAAAUACUUGGAAAGUGGCCCGGGCCCCCAAGUUCUUGACAGCAGCUGGAGUGUUCCCAUACCUGUAUCAAUAGCUGAUUAAAUGAGAAGAGAACCUGUUUUGCACCCUAAAGGUUAUUCAAAACCUGUAAAGUAUACUCAUUUUGCUUAUUCUUAAAUUUUGUCAUUACACACUGGGAUUCAGGAGUGCAUCUUUCAGAGUUUUAGUGCUCUCAGUCUCAGGGCAUAUGCAGAAUCUGUAUCCUCUGGCUACUGCAUGGAACUGCCACCCUGCCUGAAGCUCACCUUGGAACUUUUUUGGACAGUUCAGUUCCAUUGCCCACAUUCAAAGAGGUUGUGCCCUAUUCCAGGUUUAAUGGUAGCUUAGUAGCAAUAAAUUUCAAUGCAGUACCUCGGAAAAAGGGAGAUGGGAAUCACACUGCCCGAAGGCCAGUUGUAGAUGCAUGUGUAGCAACUGAUUAACUUGAUUUUUAGACAGUGUGAACCUGCAUUGUGGCCUUCCUCUGUAGUGACCCCUUUGCAUCACAGAUUUUUUGGCAACAAAAUCAUCUCAUGUUUCACAGCUUCUAACAUUUUGUGUCUGUCAUUCCUUUUUUUAUUGUUACAGAAUACAAGAUGGGAGAUUUUUCUUAAAAUGAUAAUGAUAUAUUGUCUUUUAAAGAGUGAUAACAGUAAAUUUGAGAUCAAGCAAUCUCUAUAAAAGGCUCAGAACGUUCCUUGCAUCUCCAUAGUAUCUUUUUUCCUCUGAAUUUCACUUGCAUUGUAAUUCCAAUCUGCUUCAUUUUUAGACUCCUCUGAAACUCGAGAAUUCAUUGGUCUCAGGCAAGACCAGAAAUUAACAAAUGUCUAUAAUUUUGUAGCAGUUGCAAUUUUUUGCCAAUUUACUAAUUUUUUCAGAAAACUGACAUGCUUGUUAAGCAGCAGAGGUGCCAGAGUAGGGACAGCUUCCUAAUCCCCCUCACACUGUCACGGAAUGCUGAUAUAAAGGGAAAAUCUACCUGCUUACAAGGACAUGGCAGUAUUUUGAGAUAAAGAUCUUUUGAUUUCAUUCGUUCUGUCAGACAGAGAAGCAAAUUUCUCUUGCACAUUCAGAGCUUGGAGCAAACCACUCAUGGGAAUUUAAAAGAAGACAAGAUAUCCACACCACAGUAAACAGAAAGGCUGGCAACCCUGUGCUACCAGUUCUGUAAAAGUGAAAUGUUACUGGAAAACUCUGCAAACAUUAGUCACGUAAACAGAUCUUUAUACAUAGCCACCGGAUGCCCUUGGGAAGGUUUAUGCCAUCUGCCAGUCCUUGAGAGACUCCAGCUGGGAAUCAAACAGUAUUGGUCACUUGGCCAGGAAAAUGGGCUCAGGCCAGGUAAUCUGUUUGAUGGGCACCCCUGAUGUCUGCAGGAAUCUCGCAGGUCAAGAGGAGGUUGUGGGUGUUAGUUGUCAUUUGGGCAUUGCUUAGUUGUUCUGGCUUCUGCUUCCAAACACCUUGGCCUAUCCCCUUCCCACACCAUUCCUCAAUUCCACUAUUGAUUCUACUUCCAUUGCAUGGAUUCCCUUUCCCUUUAAAAGGCCUAGCUGCUGGUACCUCUGGUGCUUGGUUGUGGUUUGUCUGACUGUAAUGCCUAUUUCCAUGCGUAGUCCUACUUCAGCUCUUUGGCUUUUCUCUUUCUAGCUUGGUCCCAAGCACAGUGUUCCCCUGCAAAGUUCUCUCAUCCUGCUGGCAGAAAAAUGUGGACCAGAGAGUUAUGCAGAUUAUGCAGAAUUUGGAGGUUCUGGGAGAUGCCACAGGAGUUGUGCACAGAGAGGUGUUUGCUCACCUGUGUACACUGAUGCAUGAUGAUACAUUAGAGGGGUAGUCACAAGCAAAAGAAAAAAGGUAAAGGUCCUACCCUUACUUGAGAUGAUGCAGCAAGUGCAUUGUUGGGGGCAAUGCUGCAGAAUGUGCUUGGGCAGUACAGGAGAGACUGAACUUGCUGCUGUGCUGUCCCAGGGAACUGACAAGGCAGUUCCCGGUUUUGUGCCAGUGUCUCACAUGUUGAGCAAGCGCUCUGAGGAAAACACUUAACUUGAAAUCUCACAUGCCUACAAGCUCCUGUUCCAGUAAGUUUUUCUGUUUGCACAUCCUGGUUCAGCACUGGAACCUCUUCUUGGAAAAUACCCAGGGAGGUAAACAACCAUGCUUAGGAAAACUUGAUGGCUACUUCCUGUUGGCAGAAGCUAGCUCUUCUUUGGAGCAGUGCCAGCGUUUGAAAGGAAAAACCUUUUCUUAUUUCUUUGGCAUUCCCUAGGCUUUGAAAUUCUUUUAGAAGUCCAGAGCCCCUGAGAGUCCUGGAAAGAGUCCUUUCUCAUUUUGUAAUUUUGAAUUCGUUUCCUUAUCUUCUUCCAUUUGGGUGCCCUUUUGUAUGCAGAACCCUGUCUCCAGCUGUCAUGUGACCCUGUGUGAAAAGAGGAAAUUAUCAGGAAAUGUCAAGUUAGGAAUCAGUUCUGUCUCAGAAUAGGUUCAGCACGACCUAAAAUGUGUGUGUGGGGGGGAGGGGGGUGUAGUCAGAAUCAUCCAUCUCUUGCUUCCUACAUUUUUGGUUUGCUGACUCCUCAGAGGGCACAGGCUAGCAGCUGGUGUUCAGAGAGGGACAAGUCUAUUAUGCUUUCUUUCUGGUAGCCUCACUGAUUUGCUCUGUUAGUGCUGACUUUAAUGAUAACUCUUAUGUAAACAGACAGGGACAGCUAAAGCCCUUUACCUACUAAUUAAAUAGAUCCUAUACUAGUAGUUGAAUGUGGAAAAUGAGUGUUUUAAGGUGAUAAAUUAAAAGUGCCAGUCAGAUCUUGUUACUUAGGUGAGUCCUUAAUACAACAGAUAACCCAAGAUGGAAUAGAGUAAAUAGUUGCUUAACUCACCAUCGCAUGAACGAAUCCAUUGUUAAUAUAGGAAUUCCUUCAUUUUAGCCAGUAACAUUUUAAGAAUGUUUUUUGCUUUUGCUAGUCACAGAUGGUGAAAUCUGUUUUCUGGCUUUAGCAUAGAGUUCUUCCUAUUGCAAUUAGUAUUAGCAGCUGAUACAUCAUACACUUUAACCACGUGCUUCAAAUAUAUUCUGUGAUGUUUAUAUAUUGUUCAUUUUGUACUAUUGCUUGAAGUAGAGCUUCAUGAACAGCAACUUUUACCCUAUAUUUACUCCAGAAACACUAAUAACUAUGUUGAAUUAAAUAUAGAAGUGUCAAUAUCUAGGUUGUAUAUAAAUAUGAUUCUGUAAAAUAUGCAGAGUGUGUUAUUUAGGUAUUAUUUACAUUGGCUGCUUAUUCAAUAUCAUGAGUGAAGAAACUGCUAAGCACUGACAUUAUGAACACAUGAAAUUAACAGUAAUCUAGGAUUUAGUGCGACUCUAACUGAAAGUGAGUAGAUGUGAUACAGAGAAAUCUCAGGAACACAAGAGCACAGUGAAAGACAUUUCUAUGGAUGCAUUUGAGUGUCUUUCUUGCAGAAUGGAUACUGAGAAUUGUGGAAAAUAUGGCUCCAAAUUUUUUCCAAAUCCAUUCUGUUCCUGUCAGCCCUUGCAGAGAUUUUAGUCGAUCAAAAGGCAUAUAUCAAUAAUUUCCUAAGUUUGUUUCUUAGAAUUCUUUUUUCUUCUUUUAGUAACAUGAUCUGCUGUGCCUGCCUGGUGAGGGCCCUGAAGGAAAGCAUCAAGCGUGGCUUGCAACUGUCUUGCAACUCUUAUUUGAGCUUAUACUGUAUAUUGGGCAAUAGUUUGCAAAAAGAAAAGGCUGCAGUUAUCUAAAUAAGUGUAUUUUCAGUACAAUUUACAUAAUUCAGUUUUACAGACCUGAUUCAUUAUUAUUUUUUCCCUUCAGUAGACAAUUACAUGUACAGAGAGGUGAAGGAUUCCCAAAUUACUAUGUUUCCCCUUCUUACAGAUUUAAAAGACUACAUAUUGUUUAAAACACUGGAAAUCCUAACUAUUCGAACAUUAACUAAAAAUUUUGUUCGCAAAAAUUUUUUAUAAUUAAAGUUGUUGUGUCUAGUCAGUUGGUUAAGUUGCUUUGCUUCGAUGCUGGUUUACUUGGAUGAAUUGUGUUUCCAAACCUUAAAUAUCAAGAGGCAAAGCCACAGUUGCACGACAUUUUUUUCUUACUAAAAAUAUCCACUGACUUCUCUUUUUGGUCUUUAAU